rnacentral:rRNA from 1 species
GCGAAGCUGGCGGCGUGCCUAAUACAUGCAAGUAGAACGCUGAAGGAAGGAGCUUGCUCUUUCCGGAUGAGUUGCGAACGGGUGAGUAACGCGUAGGUAACCUGCCUGGUAGCGGGGGAUAACUAUUGGAAACGAUAGCUAAUACCGCAUAAUAGUAGAUAUCGCAUGAUAACUGCUUAAAAGGUGCAAUUGCAUCACUACCAGAUGGACCUGCGUUGUAUUAGCUAGUUGGUGAGGUAACGGCUCACCAAGGCAACGAUACAUAGCCGACCUGAGAGGGUGAUCGGCCACACUGGGACUGAGACACGGCCCAGACUCCUACGGGAGGCAGCAGUAGGGAAUCUUCGGCAAUGGACGGAAGUCUGACCGAGCAACGCCGCGUGAGUGAAGAAGGUUUUCGGAUCGUAAAGCUCUGUUGUAAGAGAAGAACGAGUGUGAGAGUGGAAAGUUCACACUGUGACGGUAUCUUACCAGAAAGGGACGGCUAACUACGUGCCAGCAGCCGCGGUAAUACGUAGGUCCCGAGCGUUGUCCGGAUUUAUUGGGCGUAAAGCGAGCGCAGGCGGUUAGAUAAGUCUGAAGUUAAAGGCUGUGGCUUAACCAUAGUACGCUUUGGAAACUGUUUAACUUGAGUGC